GAUUAAGUUAUUAAGGGCGCACGGUGGAUGCCUUGGCACUAGAAGCCGAUGAAGGACGUUACUAACGACGAUAUGCUUUGGGGAGCUGUAAGUAAGCUUUGAUCCAGAGAUUUCCGAAUGGGGAAACCCAGCAUGAGUUAUGUCAUGUUAUCGAUAUGUGAAUACAUAGCAUAUCAGAAGGCACACCCGGAGAACUGAAACAUCUUAGUACCCGGAGGAAGAGAAAGAAAAUUCGAUUCCCUUAGUAGCGGCGAGCGAAACGGGAAGAGCCCAAACCAACAAGCUUGCUUGUUGGGGUUGUAGGACACUCUAUACGGAGUUACAAAGGACGACAUUAGACGAAUCAUCUGGAAAGAUGAAUCAAAGAAGGUAAUAAUCCUGUAGUCGAAAAUGUUGUCUCUCUUGAGUGGAUCCUGAGUACGACGGAGCACGUGAAAUUCCGUCGGAAUCUGGGAGGACCAUCUCCUAAGGCUAAAUACUCUCUAGUGACCGAUAGUGAACCAGUACCGUGAGGGAAAGGUGAAAAGCACCCCGGAAGGGGAGUGAAAUAGAACCUGAAACCGUGUGCUUACAAGUAGUCAGAGCCCGUUAAUGGGUGAUGGCGUGCCUUUUGUAGAAUGAACCGGCGAGUUACGAUUUGAUGCAAGGUUAAGCAGUAAAUGUGGAGCCGUAGCGAAAGCGAGUCUGAAUAGGGCGUUUAGUAUUUGGUCGUAGACCCGAAACCAGGUGAUCUACCCUUGGUCAGGUUGAAGUUCAGGUAACACUGAAUGGAGGACCGAACCGACUUACGUUGAAAAGUGAGCGGAUGAACUGAGGGUAGCGGAGAAAUUCCAAUCGAACCUGGA
rnacentral:rRNA from 1 species